rnacentral:rRNA from 1 species
AGUCACUGACAUUAGAUACCCCCGUAGUCCAGGGUGUAAACGCUGCAGACUUGGUGUUGGAAGUCCUUUGGGGGCAUUCAGUGCCGGAGAGAAGUUGUUAAACUCGCUGCCUGGGGAGUACGGUCGCAAGGCUGAAACUUAAAGGAAUUGGCGGGGGAGCACCACAACGGGUGGAGCUUGCGGUUUAAUUGGAUUCAACGCCGGAAAUCUUACCGGGACCGACAGCAACAUGAAGGCCAGGCUGAAGACUUUGCCGGAUUAGCUG